rnacentral:rRNA from 1 species
UACGGAGGGUGCGAGCGUUGUCCGGAAUCAUUGGGCGUAAAGGGCGCGUAGGCGGCCCGUUUUGUCAGGCGUGAAAGCCCUGGGCUCAACCUGGGAAUGGCGCUUGGGACGGAUGGGCUAGAGAUCGGGAGAGGAGAGUGGAAUUCCCAGUGUAGAGGUGAAAUUCGUAGAUAUCGAGAGGAACACCGGUGGCGAAGGCGGCCAACUGGACGAAUACUGACGCUGGAGACACGAAAGCGUGGGGAGCAAACAGG